rnacentral:lncRNA from 1 species
GUGUCUAUUUCAAAAGGCAAAGUGUUAUUUGGUAUGCUGUUUUUGUCAACGUAAUAACAAUCGCUAUGUGUCGUCAUAAACAUUGCGUUAACACAAAAAUCCUAAAGACAGCUUACAAAAGGUAAAUCUAACGAACAUAUUUAUUUCCGGUUACGGGGGUCAUGCUUGCUUUAUGUAUGAUCCAAAUAUGGUCAAAUUUUUAUAUAGGGUACCAGUCUUGACCAUUUCUUGUAUCAAUGUAAGUCUUCUUGUAUUGGUAUGGAUACGUACGAGAUGGAAUCCUAUUUUACAAACAAACACAUCCACAAAUAGAAGAAUGGUGAUUUUUUAUGCCAUCAUGACUGCUGUUAUGCUUUUAAAACAAUGUGUGGGAUAUUUUAGCAAGCUCACAGACCAAAAAUUUUUAUUUUUCAUAUUAUAAUGUUUUUAGAAAGUACUUACGGUAUGAUUUUUCUUGUUGUUUUUGUGACGUCAACAGAGAUUCGUUGGCUACCUGCGUAUUGGAAGCUUACUCAUAGAACUCGUCAUUACAAAGAUACGCUUGCUGAAACAAACUUACCCCCUUAUGAUGUUGAAGAAAAAUAUAAAAC